rnacentral:rRNA from 1 species
AUUGAACGCUGGCGGCCGGCUUAACACAUGCAAGUCGAACGAGUGGCGGACGGGAGAGUAAUGCUUGGGAAUCUAGCUUAUGGAGGGGGAUAACUACGGGAAACUGUAGAUAAUACCGCGUCACAUAGGAUGAGCCCAAGUGGGAUUAGGUAGUUGGUGAGGUAAAGGCUCACCAAGCCGACGAUCUCUAGCUGGUCUGAGAGGAUGACCAGCCAAACUGGGACUGAGACACGGCCCAGAAGCCUACGGGAGGCAGCAGUGGGGAAUAUUGCGCAAUGGGCGCAAGCCUGAUGCAGCCAUGCCGCGUGUAUGAAGAAGGCCUUCGGGUUGUAAAGUACUUUCAGCGAGGAGGCGUUACUCGCAGAAGAAGCACCGGCUAACUCCGUGCCAGCAGCCGCGGUAAUUC